rnacentral:rRNA from 1 species
AUACGUAGGAUGCGAGCGUUAUCCGGAUUUAUUGGGUUUAAAGGGUGCGUAGGCUGUUUUUCAAAUCAGGGGUGAAAUGCCGGGGCUCAACUCCGGAGCUGCCUUUGAUACUGGGAGGCUGGAAUACUGUUGCCGUGGGAGGAAUGAGUAGUGUAGCGGUGAAAUGCAUAGAUAUUACUCAGAACACCGAUUGCGAAGGCAUCUCACGAAGGGUUGAUUGACGCUGAGGCACGAAAGCGUGGGGAUCAAACAGGAUUAGAUACCCUGGUAGUCCACGCAGUAAACGAUGAUGGCUAACCGCUGGGCUUAUCAGUUCAGUGGCCAAGCGAAAGCGAUAAGCCAUCCACCUGGGGAGUACGACCGCAAGGUUGAAACUCAAAUGAAUUGGCGGGG